rnacentral:rRNA from 1 species
CCUCCUAAAAUGUAACGGAGGCGCUCAAAGGUUCCCUCAGCCUGGUUGGCAAUCAGGUGGCGAGUGUAAGUGCACAAGGGAGCUUGACUGUGAGACUGACAGGUCGAGCAGGGACGAAAGUCGGGACUAGUGAUCUGACGGUGGCUUGUGGAUGCGCCGUCACUCAACGGAUAAAAGGUACCCCGGGGAUAACAGGCUGAUCUUCCCCAAGAGUCCAUAUCGACGGGAUGGUUUGGCAC